UUGUUUUUCCUAUAUCGAUAAAGAAAAAGAGGUAGAAAUGGAUAUACAAGCAACGUGGGAAAAGAGCAGCCUGUUACAUCAAGUGGCCCAGAAUGAUACUUUAUUUGGGUUUACAGACACAUGGAAUUAAUGGGUCUCUAAAUUUACUUGGCUAAAGCAACUGUUUGUAGCAUGAUAAUAAUACUAAUUAUCUUUGUAGUAUUAACUUGCAUACUUGUACAGUGCUCUCUCUGUGCUGUUGGAAAGGCCUAGACAAUUAUGCCAGCUGGAAGACAUUGAUGAACCACCAGGUGGAAACAGUUGAAUACUUCAAGAAUAGACAAUGGGGUACGGCAGGCAAAAGAAUCUGCGUAGGAUAUUGAAAAGGAGGGACUGAAUCACGAGAACAGCUCUUCCAUAUUGUGAGAACAGCCAUUUGCAUAACUUGAGCAGCUAUAAACUGAAGGAUGGAGGCUUGUAUAAAUGUAAGCUCAAAAACGGAAUGCAGAGGAGGCUGUGGAGCUUAUUGUCAAGUGAAGGUAAGAAAGUAGAAUAGAUGUCCUGUUGUUGAAGAUAUGAUGGCAAAACAGAUGCCUCAGCUCAACAUAACAUCAGUGGGAACUAGUUUGGGCUACUCCUGCCCCCUUUAACGGUUGGAAACUUACAGUGAGAAUGACUUCAUCCUUCAUCCCACAGCCACCAGAGAAGUUAGUUAUUUCUUGAAAUUUAUGCCCAUGUCCUUGGAACGUAAUGAAUAAAUAUACGUUAGGCCUUUAAGUAUGUAGUUGCUGCUUUUCUCCGUGUGCGUGUUGGUGGAGUGAUACCCACGAACCCAGCACUGUAGUAAAAGGAAUAUCUGUUUGAUAUAACUCACCAGAGUGUCAAGUUACUUUGUUGUUUGCUUGGCUUCACUAGACCACCAUUCAAUGUGGCUGUGCUGGAUGUUGGUGUGACGACAGCCCAGGGCCCAAGUAGAACCACCCGGGGAAGGCAAUGAGACAGUGAGAGGAAGUGGCUUUUGCUGUGUAAGGCACGCAAUGAUCAUGACUCUGUUAACAGCCUCGAAAUACCUCAACGGCCGGGUCUUGCCGUUCAUAAAAACUUUCUUUCUCGGAGAUUACCAUCACAGUCCUGUGCUUUUAAGAGACUGCAUUUCCUGAGUCACACCAUUCUGAUGGUGUUUCUCAAACACAUACAGCAGGGGAAGCUGCAGCUCCACCCGCCAUAGCGAAGGGCGACCCCAACUUCAUUCCACGCGGCGCACGGCCCUCCCCCUUCUCCUCCUCCUCCCUCCCCCUUCUCCUCCCCCAUUCUCCCCGGCUCAUCCCCGUCCCGCCCCGUCCCCACCCGGAGCGGGAGGACGGUUCCUAGGAGGAGGCGCCAAGGCGGGCGGGGGCCGGGUGAGGUACCUUUCCGCCGCAGGUACACAGAAACCUAUCAAAAUUUGCAUCAUGGAGACAGAACAGUGUGCAGCUUCUCUUCAAUCAUUUUCCUGAAGGAAAGGAAGCUACAAGGAUGAUAAGUCUUGAAUUUGCUUCUUAGAGAGUGCCUGGAGAAGCAACUGUACCUAAUCAAGUAGUCUGUGUUUACCUAGCACUUAAAAUUUGUAAUUUGCCAGGUUUGUAUUCUCCCACCUGGCUUCAUUUCAAAUAACGCGUUAAUCUGUGGAAUCACUUUUAGUAAUGGGAGAAGAUGUUGAAACUUGUGAGGACUUAUCUGACACGACUUUGUUCACAAAAGUGGUGGUGGGGGUUUUGGUAGUUUUGUGUGUGUGUGUAUGUGUGUGUUUUUAACAGUGAAAAAUGAAAGCAUUUAUUUCCUUCAGAAUUUAAACUUGGUAUAUUUGAAUUUUGAAGAGCGAGAAUGAGCUAUGGCUACUUCCUGUCAAAAAAGAAUAUUGAGAGCCCCCUAUCCAGUGGACCAUCUCCUUUUCCACAGUGUUACUUUGUGUGAAGAGGAGUGUAGUUUCUGAGUACACAAGAACUUGGAACAGGUAAAUUUUCUGUGUUUUUUUUGUUUGUUUUGCUUUGCUUUUGGAUUCUAGUUUAAAGUAGAAGUGUUUGUUGAUAAGAUUUUAGGUGGCAAAAACCAGGAGAUGUGAAUGUGGACAGCCUCAGGAAAAGAGAGCUGACCUUUAUGUCAAACUAAUUCCUCAGCUAAUGUGUUUAGAAUGGAUAAGGUACCUCUAAGAUUCCAAUAAAUCAGUUGUAUGGUUUAACAUUGAACAAAGCACUUUAUGAAAUAAUAAAACUUCUGGUACUGUGCCUUGAAUAAUUCUUAAUGGUAAAUUUUAACCACUAGGCUCACAUGUCACCUUCAUUUCUUCAGCCAAGUCUGAAAGAGGGCAUUUGGAUAAUGCUCUUACAUGAUUAUGUGGUUUAACUGUGGGUCAGCCCUGAAGCUGUCUGCCAAUUGGACUUGCUGAUUGGUGUUGGUUCCUUCCACCUGAUAGUCCUGUAUUCUGCGCUUCUGACAAGUUUGUCCUGCCUGAUUAGCAGGGAUUCUGGCCAUCGCAUUGUGGUGACCCAGAGCAAGAGACGGGUAUGAGCCUUUCUGGUCCUCAUGUCCUUGCAGGGUACCUGUGGUUGUAGAUGGAUGCAUAUCCAUCAGUGUUUUCCCUGUUGGUGCAGCACUGUGCCUGACACUUGCUCUUGGGGAGAGGCUCUGCCAGGUGUACCUGCUCUCUGAAAUGCUUUCUUUUGUUUGGGAUUGCUGAAGUUGAAGGAGGUAGUUAUAAACCUGCCCUGACCUAUCACCAGGAAGCAUGUGGAUUCCCCCCCCUCUUUGUUAAUGAUUGAGAAAAGUGUCAUCCUGCCUGAGCUCCCUUCUGCGCCAGUGCAGUAAUGGCUUCUGUAGUGAUUUAUGGAUUUUGUCUUAUUUUGUGGGUUUUUUGUUUUUUUUUUUUAAUGUUGCUGUAUUUUCUGUCACGUGUGCUGCUUUUUGUGUUUUUUGCUCCCAUGCAUGCUUACCUCUGGCUCUUUUACUCACUGGUAGCUUCUUUACAAUAGCAGCACAGAUGGUCCUGCCACCUGCAAACUAGGUGCAGUUUGGGUGAAAUGGAGAAAUAGGUGGUUUGCCAGGUGUGUUUGUCCAGGUAAAUAUUCAGCCUGGUACAAAAGAGAGAGGGAAGAAACAGACGUCUUUGAUUCCCUACAGCCUUGAAGAGAUGGAACUUCUUCCUCUCAACAGCUUCUGUGAAGUAUGUGCCCUUUUAAUGAUGCCAGUAAGAUUUUCUUCUGUGUAAUCUGAGAUACACCAAACUGCUACCUGUUUCUUCCAAACAGAGACUCACACCAUUAUAUUUUUUUUAUUAACUAAGCUCAUUUACACAGUCUUCUAUUAAAUUUUACUUUUUCCUAUCUUACUGUUGCUAAAACUUGCUUAAGAAAAUGGGAUUCGAGUGGAAGAGAGGUUCAUUAAAUGGUCAAGGUUAUGUCCCUGCAGAAAUCUUUUGUUACUCUCAGUAUCUUAUCCUAUGCAUGUACAUUGGCAAAAGAACUGUUUCUUUACUCUCAGCUCUCUACUCUCAUAAAGAGGUGUAUCUUUGGUCAAAAAAAGAAUGCAGAAGUGCUCUAAAACAUAAUUUUUGCUUCCCCAUGCUAGCAGCACACUCUCUGAGCUGAUCUGGCUGAACUUGCAUCACUAAUAAAAGACUUGAGUGCAUUGAGAUAACAGCCGAGGUUGGUUUGUUGUUUGUUGUUCUUUAAAAGAGGUAAGGAAAUGAAGAGAGAUCCUCAGCUGCAUUCCUGGUGUUACAAAACAAGAGUAAUGUGUCUUGAGGACUCCAGAUUCAGUACUUCUGGCUCUGAACUUGAUUGCAUGAAGAAGAUUAGGUCCUGGACAGCCAUUUUCUUAAUGUCUUAUGAAAAAGAUUUAAAAGCCAC